rnacentral:rRNA from 2 species
GCAGUCGAACGAACUCUGGUAUUGAUUGGUGCUUGCAUCAUGAUUUACAUUUGAGUGAGUGGCGAACUGGUGAGUAACACGUGGGAAACCUGCCCAGAAGCGGGGGAUAACACCUGGAAACAGAUGCUAAUACCGCAUAACAACUUGGACCGCAUGGUCCGAGUUUGAAAGAUGGCUUCGGCUAUCACUUUUGGAUGGUCCCGCGGCGUAUUAGCUAGAUGGUGGGGUAACGGCUCACCAUGGCAAUGAUACGUAGCCGACCUGAGAGGGUAAUCGGCCACAUUGGGACUGAGACACGGCCCAAACUCCUACGGGAGGCAGCAGUAGGGAAUCUUCCACAAUGGACGAAAGUCUGAUGGAGCAACGCCGCGUGAGUGAAGAAGGGUUUCGGCUCGUAAAACUCUGUUGUUAAAGAAGAACAUAUCUGAGAGUAACUGUUCAGGUAUUGACGGUAUUUAACCAGAAAGCCACGGCUAACUACGUGCCAGCAGCCGCGGUAAUACGUAGGUGGCAAGCGUUGUCCGGAUUUAUUGGGCGUAAAGCGAGCGCAGGCGGUUUUUUAAGUCUGAUGUGAAAGCCUUCGGCUCAACCGAAGAAGUGCAUCGGAAACUGGGAAACUUGAGUGCAGAAGAGGACAGUGGAACUCCAUGUGUAGCGGUGAAAUGCGUAGAUAUAUGGAAGAACACCAGUGGCGAAGGCGGCUGUCUGGUCUGUAACUGACGCUGAGGCUCGAAAGUAUGGGUAGCAAACAGGAUUAGAUACCCUGGUAGUCCAUACCGUAAACGAUGAAUGCUAAGUGUUGGAGGGUUUCCGCCCUUCAGUGCUGCAGCUAACGCAUUAAGCAUUCCGCCUGGGGAGUACGGCCGCAAGGCUGAAACUCAAAGGAAUUGACGGGGGCCCGCACAAGCGGUGGAGCAUGUGGUUUAAUUCGAAGCUACGCGAAGAACCUUACCAGGUCUUGACAUACUAUGCAAAUCUAAGAGAUUAGACGUUCCCUUCGGGGACAUGGAUACAGGUGGUGCAUGGUUGUCGUCAGCUCGUGUCGUGAGAUGUUGGGUUAAGUCCCGCAACGAGCGCAACCCUUAUUAUCAGUUGCCAGCAUUAAGUUGGGCACUCUGGUGAGACUGCCGGUGACAAACCGGAGGAAGGUGGGGAUGACGUCAAAUCAUCAUGCCCCUUAUGACCUGGGCUACACACGUGCUACAAUGGAUGGUACAACGAGUUGCGAACUCGCGAGAGUAAGCUAAUCUCUUAAAGCCAUUCUCAGUUCGGAUUGUAGGCUGCAACUCGCCUACAUGAAGUCGGAAUCGCUAGUAAUCGCGGAUCAGCAUGCCGCGGUGAAUACGUUCCCGGGCCUUGUACACACCGCCCGUCACACCAUGAGAGUUUGUAACACCCAAAGUCGGUGGGG